AUUUUUUGCACCCUCUUCUCCUUGUGAUCUUACAUCUUCACUUAAAAGCAAUCAGGUGCGCAGGUGAAGAGAUAGGAAAAAAAGGGCUUUUAAUAGCUUUUGAUAUCAAGAUUCCAUCUUCCUCCUUAACGGCUAGCCCACACUUCUGUGAUGUCUGGUGAUGUUUUCAGUUCCACCUUUUGUGUUUUAAGAAUUGCACUUUUAAAAUUAAAAAUGCCUUAAGGAAGGACAGCAGGGUAUCUGGAGGUGGCGUAAAUAGAGAUGAAUGCUCUUCAAAAUCCACCUGAUUUAUUCUGUCAGUCAAUUGCAAUAUAGUUAUCUUCCAACACUAGCCUUAGGUUUCAGGGUACACAAGUCUAGGAUAAAGUGGUCUCUGUAAAGAGCAUCCACAGGAAGCAUGCUGCCCACUUGGCAAUGCAAGGUGGUUAUUUGUUUGACUAUACCAUGCUGUCCUUCUCCUUCCAAGGGGCCUUCGGAUAGGCUGAUGCUAUGGAGUUGGAAUCUUAAGCUGGAGGAUGAGCCAAUCAAAGUCAUAAAGGGAAGCCAUAUGUCACACACUUGGAAGUCCAUGUGUAGACAUCAAGUUGAGAGUGUCAGAGGCAAGGUCAAGACCAGGAUCUUAGCACCAAGGUUAGAGUGGCAGAAAUCAAGACUAAAGUAAGUGGAAAAAAUACGUGGAAGUGGCAGAGGAUGGUGCCUGAAGAGGUAGGAUAGGAGAGGACUCCGAGUGUAAGUGUUGUGAGAGAACAUUAUAGAUGAGCGGUGCUCAGCUGCAGUGUCCUAGCCAUGUGGGCCUCUGACUCCUGGCAGCAAACGGGAUGGCGGAUGCAGCUGUUGAGAAUGCCCUGCAGAG
rnacentral:lncRNA from 1 species